rnacentral:rRNA from 1 species
UACGGAGGGUGCAAGCGUUAUCCGGAUUUACUGGGGUUAAAGGGUGCGUAGGUGGGUCUGUAAGUCAGUGGUGAAAUCUCCGAGCUUAACUCGGAAACUGCCAUUGAUACUAUAGGUCUUGAAUUAUCUGGAGGUAAGCGGAAUAUGUCAUGUAGCGGUGAAAUGCUUAGAUAUGACAUAGAACACCAAUUGCGAAGGCAGCUUACUACGGAUAUAUUGACACUGAGGCACGAAAGCGUGGGGAUCAAACAGG